AGAGUUUGAUCCUGGCUCAGGAUGAACGCUAGCGGCAGGCCUAACACAUGCAAGUCGAGGGGUAACAGGGAGUGCUUGCACUCAGCUGACGACCGGCGCACGGGUGCGUAACGCGUAUGCAAUCUACCUCUUACUGAGGGAUAGCCCAUGGAAACGUGGAUUAAUACCUCAUAGUAUUAUAGACUGGCCUCAGUUUAUGAUUAAAGGUUACGGUAAGAGAUGAGCAUGCGUCCUAUUAGCUAGAUGGUAAGGUAACGGCUUACCAUGGCUACGAUAGGUAGGGGUCCUGAGAGGGAGAUCCCCCACACUGGUACUGAGACACGGCCAGACUCCUACGGGAGGCAGCAGUGAGGAAUAUUGGACAAUGGGCGAGAGCCUGAUCCAGCCAUGCCGCGUGCAGGAAGACGGCCCUAUGGGUUGUAAACUGCUUUUACAGAGGAAGAACCCUCCUUACGUGUAAGGAGCUGACGGUACUCUAUGAAUAAGGAUCGGCUAACUCCGUGCCAGCAGCCGCGGUAAUACGGAGGAUCCAAGCGUUAUCCGGAAUCAUUGGGUUUAAAGGGUCCGUAGGCGGGUCUAUAAGUCAGUGGUGAAAGUCUGCAGCUUAACUGUAGAACUGCCAUUGAUACUGUAGACCUUGAAUUAGUAUGAAGUGGUUAGAAUGUGUAGUGUAGCGGUGAAAUGCAUAGAUAUUACACAGAAUACCGAUUGCGAAGGCAGAUCACUAAUACUAUAUUGACGCUGAUGGACGAAAGCGUAGGUAGCGAACAGGAUUAGAUACCCUGGUAGUCUACGCCGUAAACGAUGGUUACUAGCUGUCCGGCCUAAUUGAGGGCUGGGUGGUUAAGCGAAAGUGAUAAGU
rnacentral:rRNA from 1 species